UGAUCAACAUGUGUAAAAGAACCUAGUGAAAAUUUGUUUUGAUCUAUUCUGACUAGGUUUUGCGAGCAUUCUAGUGCUUGGGACUGAGAAUAUAUAACCUCGAUUUAUCUUUUCACUAUACCUGCGUAGUGGAUUAAGAUCAAAUUAUUAUUUCAAAUUUUAAGACUUCCAUGUUUCCUUUAUUAUCUCAUUGUAUCUACUAGUUUAGCACCAUUUGUUUCUCCUAGACAAC
rnacentral:lncRNA from 1 species